rnacentral:tRNA from 1 species
AGAGGUGUAGCUAAUUGGUAGAGCACUUGCCUAACAUGUGAGAGGCCAUGGGUUUGACCCUCAUCUCUG